rnacentral:rRNA from 1 species
UACAGAGGGGGCAAGCGUUGUUCGGAAUUACUGGGCGUAAAGGGCGCGUAGGCGGCCUGCUAAGUCGAACGUGAAAUCCCCAGGCUCAACCUGGGAACUGCGUCUGAUACUGGAUGGCUUGAAUCCGGGAGAGGGAUGCGGAAUUCCAGGUGUAGCGGUGAAAUGCGUAGAUAUCUGGAGGAACACCGGUGGCGAAGGCGGCAUCCUGGACCAUAACUGACACUGAUAAGCGAAAGCCAGGGGAGCAAACGGG